rnacentral:rRNA from 1 species
UCGGGAAUUUUGGGCAAUGGGCGAAAGCCUGACCCAGCAACGCCGCGUGAAGGAUGAAGUAUUUCGGUAUGUAAACUUCGAAAGAAUGGGAAGAAUAAAUGACGGUACCAUUUAUAAGGUCCGGCUAACUACGUGCCAGCAGCCGCGGUAAUACGUAGGGACCAAGCGUUGUUCGGAUUUACUGGGCGUAAAGGGCGCGUAGGCGGCUUGACAAGUCACUUGUGAAAUCUCCGGGCUUAACUCGGAACG